rnacentral:misc_RNA from 1 species
GAUGAAGAACGUAGUGAAAUGCGAUAAGUAAUGUGAAUUGCAGAAUUCAGUGAAUCAUCGAAUCUUUGAACGCACAUUGCGCCCCCUGGUAUUCCGGGGGGCAUGCCUGUUCGAGCGUCAUUUCACCACUCAAGCCUCGCUUGGUAUUGGGCAACGCGGUCCGCCGCGUGCCUCAAAUCGACCGGCUGGGUCUUCUGUCCCCUAAGCGUUGUGGAAACUAUUCGCUAAAGGGUGUUCGGGAGGCUACGCCGUAAAACAACCCCAUUUCUAAGGUUGACCUCGGUUCAGGUAGGGAUACCCGCUGAACUUAAGCUUAUCAAUAAGCGGAGGA